rnacentral:rRNA from 1 species
UGGGGAAUAUUGCACAAUGGGCGCAAGCCUGAUGCAGCCAUGCCGCGUGUGUGAAGAAGGACUUCGGGUUGUAAAGCACUUUCAGCGGGGAGGAAGGCGAUAAGGUUAAUAACCUUGUCGAUUGACGUUACCCGCAGAAGAAGCACCGGCUAACUCCGUGCCAGCAGCCGCGGUAAUACGGAGGGUGCAAGCGUUAAUCGGAAUUACUGGGCGUAAAGCGCACGCAGGCGGUCUGUCAAGUCGGAUGUGAAAUCCCCGGGCUCAACCUGGGAACUGCAUUCGAAACUGGCAGGCUAGAGUCUUGUAGAGGGGGGUAGAAUUCCAGGUGUAGCGGUGAAAUGCGUAGAGAUCUGGAGGAAUACCGGUGGCGAAGGCGGCCCCCUGGACAAAGACUGGCUCAGGUGCGAAAGCGUGGGGAGCAAACAGG